AAAACGACUCUCGGCAACGGAUAUCUGGGCUCUCGCAUCGAUGAAGAACGUAGCGAAAUGCGAUACUUGGUGUGAAUUGCAGAAUCCCGCGAAUCAUCGAGUUUUUGAACGCAAGUUGCGCCCGAAGCCAUUCGGCCGAGGACACGUCUGCCUGGGUGUCACGC
rnacentral:rRNA from 1 species